rnacentral:rRNA from 1 species
UACGUAGGUGGCAAGCGUUGUCCGGAGUUACUGGGCGUAAAGGGCAUGCAGGCGGUCGGACGCGUUUCGGGUGACAGCGGGUGGCUUAACUACCCGAGUGGUCGAAAGACGGUUUGACUUGAGGACGCGAGAGGGACACGGAAUUCCGGGUGGAGUGGUGAAAUGCGUAGAGAUCGGAAAGAACACCAACGGCGAAAGCACUCUGCUGGGCCGACACUGACACUGAGAGACGAAAGCUAGGGGAGCGAAUGGG